rnacentral:rRNA from 1 species
UGCGCUAAAUGACGAGCCUAAGUCGGAUUAGCUAGUUGGUGGGGUAAAGGCCUACCAAGGCGACGAUCUGUAGCGGGUCUGAGAGGAUGAUCCGCCACACUGGGACUGAGACACGGCCCAGACUCCUACGGGAGGCAGCAGUGGGGAAUAUUGGACAAUGGGCGAAAGCCUGAUCCAGCCAUGCCGCGUGUGUGAAGAAGGCCUUUUGUUGUAAGGCACUUUAAGCGAGGAGGAGGCUACUAGUACUAAUACUACUGGAUAGUGGACGUUACUCGCAGAAUAAGCACCGGCUAACUCUGUGCCAGCAGCCGCGGUAGUACAGAGGGUGCGAGCGUUAAUCGGAUUUACUGGGCGUAAAGCGUGUGUAGGCGGCUUUUUAAGUCGGAUGUGAAAUCCCCGAGCUUAACUUGGGAAUUGCAUUCGAUACUGGGAAGCUAGAGUAUGGGAGAGGAUGGUAGAAUUCCAGGUGUAGCGGUGAAAUGCGUAGAGAUCUGGAGGAAUACCGAUGGCGAAGGCAGCCAUCUGGCCUAAUACUGACGCUGAGGUACGAAAGCAUGGGGAGCAAACAGGAUUAGAUACCCUGGUAGUCCAUGCCGUAAACGAUGUCUACUAGCCGUUGGGGCCUUUGAGGCUUUAGUGGCGCAGCUAACGCGAUAAGUAGACCGCCUGGGGAGUACGGUCGCAAGACUAAAACUCAAAUGAAUUGACGGGGGCCCGCACAAGCGGUGGAGCAUGUGGUUUAAUUCGAUGCAACGCGAAGAACCUUACCUGGCCUUGACAUACUAGAAACUUUCCAGAGA